AAAAAGUGACUUAAUUUUAAAGCCAUUUUAGAUCUACUAAAUAUGUGUUUGAUAUGUGAUAACGAUGGCCUAGCUAACAGGUCAGUACCUACUUUGCAACAACUGGUCCAGAAUUUUCAUCGUGAGAUCCAAUGCUGGAUGGUACAAAAUCAAUUCCUUCUCCUGAUAACACGGUUGAGCUCGAGCCAGCUUCCGCGUUUAUGCAUGCAUGUCUCACUAAUACAAGUCCAUGUGGAGCUCGA
rnacentral:misc_RNA from 1 species